CUCGCCGUCCAGCCAGUUACUCCCGGAAGCGCUGGGACGGGUGGUGAGGGGUCCGGGCCGGAUGGCGCGCCUUAGAGAGGAUGCUGUUCGUGCUGCUUUCCGUGCCGUGUUUUCUGAAAGCUUAAAUACAGACCAGAAGAGGAGUUUGGGGCUUGACACCUGACAUCUUAACACCAGUUCCUGUUUCUUGAGGAAGGAAGAGGUAAAAUAAAUCAGCAUUUACUGUGUCCUUCUCCAUCCCCGGAAGUCUUCAUGAAGACCCUCUCAGCUUCUACUUGAACGUGAAUAUGAGCAACUGAUCAUCUGUUCUGCAGUCAGCCCCUGGCCUGAUUCUGACUCAUGGUAUUGACCUUCUCCAUCAUCACCUUCCACAAAUUUGAUUCCUAUCUAUUCUGCCUGGAAUGGUUCACGAGUAUAGUCACCAUUUAUGUUCCUGACGAAAGCAGGUGAAGGCAUUCGUGGAGAGAGGCGAUUUCCAUGCGUGCAGGAAAGUGUGUGCUGAGAUGAUGAGUCGCUGGAGACCGGGGUGGACUCUUCAGACCCAGGAUAGGCCUCUGGCAGGUAUGUGUCAAUGUUUUCUGCCCAUGGCACUCACCCGGGUAUUUGCAUAGAAUGUCGUCAGCGGAAUUAGUAGUCUCCGGAGAGGCUGCCACAUGUCAACAAGCUUCACCUGGCCAGAGUACACCCGUGAUGUAGCUCCCCAAUCAGUCACCUUCCCCCUUUGCUCUUUCGUCUCUAGGCACUCUAUCAGGCACUCCAAGCUGUGAAGUGACUCAGGGAGAGAAGGAAGAGAUUUCAGAGAAUGAACACAUACAGAGAGAGAGGCAAGAGAUGCUGAGUGAGGAUGUCUUGCGUACUGAUAUCCUGAGGAAAGUGGGAAAAUUGGACCCUGGCCUGCUCUGCCAAUGCCCUGAAGCAGUCCGCACCAGGGGCUCCCUUGUGCCUGCGUAGCCUUUCCCAGGGUGUGCUCAAAUCCUGUGGCCACUAGGUGUCCUAGGUCACAAUGGAGGACCCUGUGUCAUCUGCCUGGUGGACUGGAUCUCUGCCAUUGGCUGAGUCUUGUCACCAGGCCCAUCAUAAGCUCUGCCCACUCUUCCGGUGGGGAGACUCUCUCCAUGGUGAUGGCAAAGAAACCUUAGUCCCGCCCACCUGGCCUUGACUUCACCUACCUGGCCUGCUGACCCUCACUCAGACCUCUGUGUCGAUCAAAAUGAAUGUUCACCAGUUGCCCGGUGUCAGCAUCUGGUAUAAAGGAUUCGGGACCUUGCCUGAGGCAGAAGGCAGCCUAGGUCUGCGGGUACCUGGAAGUCUAGUGACUUGUGACGCUGCUGCCAGUGAGAAAUGGUGACUCCCAUACUCACAUAUCCCCUGGUGGCAGAAUGAUAGUGAUGGGUGGAGAAACAUGGUUCCGGAGCACACGUUCAGUCGGGCACCGGCCAAAUGCCACGGCCAGGAGUGGACGUUGUGGAGCUGCAUGGCGAGCCAGUGAAGGGCCCAAGGAUUUCUCCAAUGAGGCAAAAUGCAGAUCAAGCCAAGGAACAUAAAGAUAAAGCAGCUGAAGAAAUUAAAAAGGUUACUCAAGAACAUAGUUAAAAAUUUAAUAAGCUGCAAGAAACCAUAGAGAGACUGCAAUCAGAGAUUCAGAAGAUUAACAAUAAAAUUACAGAGUUAGAAAACUCAAUAGAAAGUAAGAAGAGCACAACUGAGGAAUUGGAAGGCAGAAUUACUGAGAUUGAAGGUGAAACUCUUGGGACUAAUAUAUUUGAAGAGAAAGCAGAUAAAAGAAAUUUAAAUGAAGAAAUCCAAAGAAUCAUAUGGGACUUUAUCAAGAGAAAUAACUAUGAGUGAUUUCAGUACCAGAACAGGGAGGGCUAACAGAAAAUACAAAGGGAACUGUUGAAGAUUUGUUGGCAGAAAACUUCCAUGAUAUCAUGAAAGAUGCUCAUCGAAUUCCACAUAAGGUAGAUCUCAAAAGAAAGUGACCGAGACACAUAAUAAUCAAACUUGCCAAAAUCAAAUAUAAAGAGAAUUUUAAGAGAGGCUAGGGAUAAAGGAAGUCACCAACAAAGGAGAGUAAAUAAUAAAAAACUUGGACUACUCAGCAGAAAUCAUGCAGGCAAGAAGGCAAAGGGAUGACUUACACAAAAUAUUGAAGGAAAAAAAUUGCCAGCCAGGAAUCAAACCAUAACCCUGGCCCUCUGGCCUUCUGGCCCUCUGGCCUUAGCCCUCUAACUCUAGCCCCUAAGCCCUGAGCCCCAAAGCCCCUAAGACCCUAAGCCCUUAGGUCCUAACCCCCAAGGCCCUAAACCCUAACCCUAACCCAAACCCUAACCCCUAUAGCCUAAACUCUACAACCUAAACACCUACACCCCAAAACACUACACAUCAAAACCCUACACACUAAACCCUAUACUCUAAGCCUCAAACCCUAAACCCAAACCUCAAAUUCCAAACCCUAAACCUAACCGUAAACCCUAAACCCUAACACCUAACCCUAACCCCUAACCACCCUAACCCUAAUGACCCUAACCCUAACCCUCGAACCCUAACCCUCUAACGCUAACAUGAAACCCUAAUCCGAAACCCUAACCCUCUAACUCUAACCUCUAACCCUCUAACCCUAGCCCUAAUCCUAACCCCAACCUCCAAACCUAACCCCAAACCCUAAACCUCAAAUCCCUAGCCCUAAACCUAAGAAUGAGCCUAAGCCUAACCCUAUCACUUAACUCUAAACCCUAAACCAUAACA